rnacentral:rRNA from 1 species
GGUACGGGCAGACUAGAGUGUGGUAGGGGAGACUGGAAUACCUGGUGUAGCGGUGGAAUGCGCAGAUAUCAGGAGGAACACCGAUGGCGAAGGCAGGUCUCUGGGCCAUUACUGACACUGAGAAGCGAAAGCAUGGGGAGCGAACAGGAUUAGAUACCCUGGUAGUCCAUGCCGUAAACGUUGGGAACUAGGUGUGGGCCUCAUUCCACGAGGUCCGUGCCGCAGCUAACGCAUUAAGUUCCCCGCCUGGGGAGUACGGCCGCAAGGCUAAAACUCAAAGGAAUUGACGGGGGCCCGCACAAGCGGCGGAGCAUGCGGAUUAAUUCGAUGCAACGCGAAGAACCUUACCAAGGCUUGACAUGCACCGGAAUCGCUCAGAGAUGGGUGCGUCUUCGGACUGGUGCACAGGUGGUGCAUGGUUGUCGUCAGCUCGUGUCGUGAGAUGUUGGGUUAAGUCCCGCAACGAGCGCAACCCUCGUUCUAUGUUGCCAGCACGUGAUGGUGGGGACUCAUAGGAGACUG